rnacentral:rRNA from 1 species
UACGGGGGGAGCAAGCGUUGUUCGGAUUUACUGGGCGUAAAGGGCGCGUAGGCGGUAGCACAAGUCAGUUGUGAAAUCUCCGGGCUUAACUCGGAAAGGUCAACUGAUACUGUGCGACUAGAGUGCAGAAGGGGCAAUUGGAAUUCACGGUGUAGCAGUGAAAUGCGUAGAUAUCGUGAGGAAGACCAGUGGCGAAGGCGGAUCUCUGGAGAGUUCCUGACGCUGAGGCACGAAGGCCAGGGGAGCAAACGGG